rnacentral:rRNA from 1 species
CCAAUAGCGUAUAUUAAAGUUGUUGCAGUUAAAAAGCUCGUAGUUGAAUUUCGGGGUUAGUAGGUUGGUCAUGCCUCUGGUAUGCACUGGUCUCACUGAUUCCUCCUUCCUGAUGAGCCGUAAUGCCAUUAAUUUGGUGUUGCGGGGAAUCUGGACUGUUACUUUGAAAAAAUUAGAGUGUUUAAAGCAGGCUAACGCUUGAAUACAUUAGCAUGGAAUAAUGGAAUAGGACGUUCGAUCUUAUUUUGUUGGUUUCUAGGAUUGACGUAAUGAUUAAUAGGGAUAGUUGGGGGCAUUAGUAUUCAAUUGUCAGAGGUGAAAUUCUUGGAUUUAUUGAAGACUAACUACUGCGAAAGCAUUUGCCAAGGAUGUUUUCAUUAAUCAAGAACGAAAGUUAGGGGAUCGAAGACGAUCAGAUACCGUCGUAGUCUUAACCAUAAACUAUGCCGACUAGGGAUCGGAUGAUGUUAAUUUUUUAAUGACUCAUUCGGCGCCUUACG